UUGGAAAGAUAUUUGAAUGAAAACUAAUCCUUUUAAAAGAAAUAAAGUUGUAAAGGUCAAUAAUUUGUAUCAAAUGGUAAUAGUGAAGUGGGAGUUCCCAUAAAAGUCAUCAUAAAAAUGAGAGAGAAGAACUUGUCAUCAUUAAAGUAGCUGGUGAAAACCGAGUAUCACAACAUAAGGAGAUCUAGGAAAACCUCGAC
rnacentral:lncRNA from 1 species